UACGGAGGGUGCAAGCGUUGUUCGGAAUUAUUGGGCGUAAAGAGCGUGUAGGCGGCCUAGUAAGUCAGAUGUGAAAUCCCUUGGCUUAACCAAGGAAGGGCAUUUGAAACUGCUUGGCUUGAGUACGGGAGGGGGAAGUGGAAUUCCCGGUGUAGAGGUGAAAUUCGUAGAUAUCGGGAAGAACACCAGUGGCGAAGGCGGCUUCCUGGAUCGAUACUGACGCUGAGACGCGAAAGCGUGGGGAG
rnacentral:rRNA from 1 species